CUGAUUCUGCUUCUGACUCUGCAGCUGUUUCUGCUGCUCCUUCUGCUUCCGCUUCAGCUGCGGCAUCUGCUGCUGCCUCCGCCGCUGCGUCUGCUGCUGCGUCUGCUGCUGCUUCUGCUGCGGCCUCUGCUAAUGCCGCUGCUGCUGCAUCCGCGGCAGCCUCUGCUGCUGCGGCAGCUGCAGAAACAGCGACGUCAAUUAUGAUCCCAAUAACUAUACCCAUAGUGUUGAAGACAGAUUUCCGUC
rnacentral:sRNA from 1 species